GAAUAGGGCGAAUACUCGCUGGGUGUAGACCCGAAACCAAGUGAUCUAUCCAGGGCCAGGAUGAAGGUACCGUAACAGGUGCUGGAGGUCCGAACCGACUAGUGUUGCAAAACUAGCGGAUGAGCUGUGGAUAGGGGUGAAAGGCUAAACAAACUUGGAAAUAGCUGGUUCUCUCCGAAAACUAUUUAGGUAGUGCCUCAAGUAUUACCUGCGGGGGUAGAGCACUGUUUAGGCUAGGGGGUCAUGGCGACUUACCAAACCUUAGCAAACUCCGAAUACCGCAGAGUACAGCUUGGG
rnacentral:rRNA from 1 species